CUUGGAAAAAGAAAUGAAACAAUGAGAGGAAAAGAAACUUUGAAGCCUGAUUUGAAAUGUGACCUGGUUCCCCUUUGUGAAUGUCUACAAAUCUGAAGAAAGCAGAAGAAUGAGGGCCCUGAAAAAACGAAAACGUUCAAGAGAAGCAAUACGUCCUAAACAUCAGCCACUGUGAACAAGGCAUGGAAUUCUGAUUAGACUCUGGCUUGAAAUGAAAAAUGAAGUUUUUAAAAAGAGUCUAGGAGCAUUUGUUCUCAGGAGACACGACCUCCAAGAGCCACAGAUACACAGUCUUCUCCCUGCAAAGUGCUUCACAGCUACGGAAGACAAGGAUCCAUGAAGGCAAGCUGGUCUACUGAAUAACUUCAGAGAUUCCUCUGAUCCACAUUUACCCUAAAAAGAAAUCUGAAAUGUAUAUAAGGCUACUCGGAAUUUUUCCCCCCAGUGCCUGGUUUAAUGUGGCUACUAUGCUGUUGGCACUGACAGAGUAAAUAUUAGUCAUAAUGAUAACAGCAAUGAUGACAAUAAUAGAAGUGAUUAUCUAAAGCAAAAUGUUUGUAUAAAAGAAAACCCAUUCCCAAACACAAAAUCCCAUCAUCACAAAUUGCUCUCAAUGACUGUCAGAAGCUUUUAUGAAACAGCUUGGAAUCAUUUCCAAACACACACCUAAAA